rnacentral:ncRNA from 1 species
GUAAAAGUCGUAACAAGGUUUCCGUAGGUGAACCUGCGGAAGGAUCAUUACCGAGUGCGGGUUCUAACGAGCCCAACCUCCCACCCGUGUUUACUGUUACCGCGUUGCUUCGGCGGGCCCACUGGGGCCUGGCCCCGGUCGCCGGGGGGCUUCUGCCCCCGGGUCCGCGCCCGCCGAAGCGCCCUGGAACCCUGUCUGAAUAGUGAGUCUGAGUGGAUAUUGAAUCAUUAAAACUUUCAACAACGGAUCUCUUGGUUCCGGCAUCGAUGAAGAACGCAGCGAAAUGCGAUAAGUAAUGUGAAUUGCAGAAUUCCGUGAAUCAUCGAAUCUUUGAACGCACAUUGCGCCCCCUGGCAUUCCGGGGGGCAUGCCUGUCCGAGCGUCAUUUCUGCCCUCCAGCACGGCUGGGUGUUGGGUGCUGUCCCCCCGGGGACACGCCCCAAAAGCAGUGGCGGCGCCGCGUCGGGUCCUCGAGCGUAUGGGGCUCUGUCACCCGCUCGGGAGGGACUCGGUCGGCGCUGGUCUUCCUCCAGGCGACCCUUCGGGGCUCGUCUCCUCCGGUUGACCUCGGAUCAGGUAGGGCUACCCGCUGAACUUAAGCAUAUCAAUAAGCGGAGGAAAAGAAACCAACAGGGAUUGCCUCAGUAACGGCGAGUGAAGCGGCAAGAGCUCAAAUUUGAAAUCUGGCUCCUUCGGGGCCCGAGUUGUAAUUUGGAGAGGAUGCUUCGGGCGUGGCCCCUAUCUAAGUGCCCUGGAACGGGCCGUCAUAGAGGGUGAGAAUCCCGUCUGGGAUGGGUGGUCCCGCCCGUGUGAAGCUCCUUCGAAGAGUCGAGUUGUUUGGGAAUGCAGCUCUAAGAGGGUGGUAAAUUUCAUCUAAAGCUAAAUAUUGGCCGGAGACCGAUAGCGCACAAGUAGAGUGAUCGAAAGAUGAAAAGCACUUUGAAAAGAGAGUUAAACAGCACGUGAAAUUGUUGAAAGGGAAGCAUUGGCAACCAGACUUGUUUGGGGGGGCUCAGCCGGCACCUGUGCCGGUGCACUCCCCCCCGGCAGGCCAGCGUCGGUUUGGGCGGUCGGUCAAAGGCCCCGGGAAUGUAGCACCCUCCGGGGUGCCUUAUAGCCCAGGGUGCCAUGCGACCUGCCCGGACCGAGGAACCCCCUUCAGCUCCGAC